rnacentral:lncRNA from 1 species
CCAUGCAAGGUGGUCAUCACCUCCACACAUGCACUACCUCGCAUCCCAGGGGGUUUCCUAUGGUGAAACCUCUCAAACUCUCAACACUCAAUAGUCUACUAGCGUGCACAGUGAUGGUGUGGGUGCAUCCGAAACCCUAAGAAGCUAAAGCAGGAUAUGAAACACACUGGCCACACAAAUAUCCAUGAAACCUAGCUCCGGGCUAUACAGGUCUUCAAUGAUCGGACUCCAAUCGACAUCAAAGUAUCGCUCUCCUCCAGAAUGCUCCCGUACAUCGAUA